rnacentral:rRNA from 1 species
CCUACGGGUGGCAGCAGUGAGGAAUAUUGGUCAAUGGACGAGAGUCUGAACCAGCCAAGUAGCGUGAAGGAUGACUGCCCUAUGGGUUGUAAACUUCUUUUAUAUGGGAAUAACACAGGGUAUGCAUACCCUCUUUUAUGUACCAUAUGAAUAAGGAUCGGCUAACUCCGUGCCAGCAGCCGCGGUAAUACGGAGGAUCCGAGCGUUAUCCGGAUUUAUUGGGUUUAAAGGGAGGGUAGGUGGUUUGUUAAGUCAGUUGGUAAAGUGUGGGGGUCAACCGUAAAAUGGCAGUUGAAACUGGCAGUAUGGAGUAGGAGAGAAGUAGGCGGAAUGCGUGGUGUAGCGGUGAAAUGCUUAGAUAUCACGCAGAAAUCCGAUUGCGAAGGCAGCACACCGGCGCCCAACUGACGCUGAUGCACGAAAGUGUGGGUAUCAAACAGGAUUAGAUACCCCAGUAGUC